CCAACCAUCAGUGACGAGGACAGAAAGGCUCCCCAGCGCUUGACGCGCUUAGCGACCGCAGCAUUGCCUCCAGCUGCUGUGGUUGGUGGUCUCUUUGCACCGGCGGAGGUAACAGCCGCACUAGCAGUGGCUGCUGCCGGAUCCACAAGAGCCAUUGCUACUUCGUUCUUGCCAAGCAAUGAAGAAAAAGGCACAUCAAAGAAGAAAAACCCUAAGGUGCCCGAAGGCAAAUGAAGGACGUCCCGCUUCUAAGGGGCCGCCAACAUUAGAAAUUCAAGAGCAAGCCAACGUAGUGUAGAAAGGCCUAUUUGCGAUUUCUGAAAUUAUCUGAAAGCUUUGAUGACAUUUUAUGUGAUUAAUAAGAAUGAGGCGUUUUGUACCA